rnacentral:rRNA from 1 species
GACGAACGCUGGCGGCGUGCCUAACACAUGCAAGUCGAGCGGACAGGCCCUGCUUUUGUGGGUUGCACGUUUGCCGAGCGCGUGUGUAACACACGUGUAACCUCCCCUUGACUUUCUGGUAACUUCAGGAAACUCGGGCUCUUACAGCAUAUGAGCUCCUGCUGCGCAUUGGUGGAUGGUAAGUUUCGGCGGUUGUGGCUGGAAUCGCUGCUUAUCAGCUGGUUGGUGGGGUAGUUGCUUACCAAGCCUUUGAAGGGUAGCCGGCCUGAGAGGGUGACCGGCGACAUUGGGACUGAGAUACGGACCAGACGCCUAUGGGAGGCAGUAGGCGGGAAUAUUGCAGAACGACGGGAAGCCAGAGACAGCGAUGCCGCGUGCGUGAAGACGGCCUUCGAGUUGUAAACCGAUGUCGACUGUGACGAAGCGGGAGUGACGGUAAUGGGUAAAGAAGCACCGGCUAACUACGUG